UACAGGGGGCUCGAGCGUUAAUCGGAAUCACUGGGCUUAAAGGGUGCGUAGGCGGGUCUGUAAGCGUCUUGUGAAAGCCCCCGGCUCAACCGGGGAACAGCAGGGCGAACUACAGAUCUAGAGACAGGUAGGGGCCGACAGAACAGUAGGUGGAGCGGUGAAAUGCGUAGAUAUCUACUGGAAUGCCGAUGGGGAAGCCGGUCGGCUGGGCCUGUUCUGACGCUGAGGCACGAAAGCGUGGGGAUCAAACAGG
rnacentral:rRNA from 1 species